rnacentral:lncRNA from 1 species
AGAGCCUCGGGCACUUGUGCAACUAGGAGACUUGGAGACGGGCUCUUCUCUAAAGUGAAUGAAGAAACAGCCAAGCCAGAUUUCAGAACGGACUCCACAAAACCAUGAGAAGCAUGGGAGCUGUGCACACUUGUUACAGAUGAAUUAAGAUACGAUGACCUGAUCCGCAGGACAAUAAACAGGUCCUCACAUCUGAGCACAGUGCAAACAUCUCCUUCGAAAUGUGGGACUUGUAAAACUAUCAUUUUAAUUCACUCUGUCUGGUAGGGGUUCAGAGUCAAGCUCUAGCAGUUAUGAACAGAGACCCUUUGAAGUGUCAUUUGACACCUCUGAGUCACGGUUUGGACCUUUACGAAAGGUGAUUCGAACUAGGGCUUCCCUACAACUUCCUGGAAAAUGAACUAAAACCAUGAGCAAAGUGACGAUGGCACCCUGCUGGGACUUCUGGCCUACAACAGGUUUUGUGCCAUGAAGGUCUACAGUUACCAUAAAGGCAGAAUCAACAGACACAGCACAGAUAUCGAAUGUCUAUGCUACAAAUAAGUGAUUAAAUGGUAACAAUAAAACAACCCACCUUCCCAUGUCAAACAUUCCAUAAUUAUCACCUAGCACAGCACCAGGUCACACCAAGCUCCGAGUGAGACGGACUGUAUUCAAUUUCAUGACUGGUCUAAUCCUCUUUAUAAUAAAA